UUAUUUGCGGACUAACCAUGUGCACUGAGUGUUUCAGAUAUUAUGUCAUGGCACGAGAUGGUUUGUAUCCCCUCAGUGGUAAAGAGUGAGGACGAUUUUCUCUGUCGAUUUCAUUUCCUGUGGUUUUGAGUUGCCGGACAACCAUACUAUUAAGAGGGGGCCCACAUUGAAAAGGUAUGGGUGGAAUGAGCACGUACACAUCCUCAUUUGCAACCACAUAUUCCUUUCUUCUUUUAGGAGCUCCCUGAUUGUUUUCUGUGGAGUGUCAGUUGCUUUGAAGAGGUAUUACCCCUAGUGCCCACGGUAGUACCGAUGGGUAACAUCGUGCUAGUGUCGCUUGGGUAUUCCAAAGUGCGCACUUUACGUUGCCAAUUUCAUAGAUCACGAUAGUAGUCCAGUAGUACCACGGUAGUAAAGCGCAAGCAUACUUCCGCUCUAUUACCGCGGCUACUACCGUUUGAGGGUUACCCCUUUUGCUACUUUUUGUUCCCAUUUUAGCUUGAGUGGUGGUAGAGCGACAAUAGAACGGUAGUACCUUUUUGUGCGAUACUGCCGCCCUAGUUCUUUCCACUACUGUUGUCUGGUCUCGUCCAGAGACACACAACGGUAGUACCACUUGGAUGGAUGGUAGUACCGCUCCGGUGGUGCUACCGCUCCUGUACUUCCAGUACUCUCUAACUUGUGCCUAGAAGUACCUCCCCAAGGAGUGGUAGUACCGCUUUAGUGCGGGUAGAGGGCAGAAAAUUGUCGGAUUCCCCCCACUAUAAAUAUAAUGCCUUCCUCCCCAAGAAUACUUACC
rnacentral:lncRNA from 1 species